rnacentral:rRNA from 1 species
GCGGCGUGCCUAAUACYUGCAAGUCGAGCGCGGGAAGCAAGCAGAUCCCUUCGGGGUGACGCAUGUGGAACGAGCGGCGGACGGGUGAGUAACACGUGGGCAACCUGCCUUGCAGACUGGGAUAACCCCGGGAAACCGGGGCUAAUACCGGAUGACCAAUCAAAUCGCAUGAUUUGAUUGUAAAAGUAGGGACUUGUUCCUUACACUGCAAGAUGGGCCCGCGGCGCAUUAGCUAGUUGGUGAGGUAAGAGCUUACCAAGGCAACGAUGCGUAGCCGACCUGAGAGGGUGAUCGGCCACACUGGGACUGAGACACGGCCCAGACUCCUACGGGAGGCAGCAGUAGGGAAUCAUCCGCAAUGGGCGAAAGCCUGACGGUGCAACGCCGCGUGAGUGAAGAAGGUUUUCGGAUCGUAAAGCUCUGUUAUCUGGGAAGAACAAGUACCGGUCGAAUAGGCCGGUACCUUGACGGUACCCGAUCAGAAAGCCCCGGCUAACUACGUGCCAGCAGCCGCGGUAAUACGUAGGGGGCAAGCGUUGUCCGGAAUUAUUGGGCGUAAAGGGCGCGCAGGCGGUUUCCUAAGUCUGAUGUGAAAGCCCACGGCUCAACCGUGGAGGGUCAUUGGAAACUGGGGAACUUGAGUACAGGAGAGGAGAGCGGAAUUCCACGUGUAGCGGUGAAAUGCGUAGAGAUGUGGAGGAACACCAGUGGCGAAGGCGGCUCUCUGGCCUGUAACUGACGCUGAGGCGCGAAAGCGUGGGGAGCGAACAGGAUUAGAUACCCUGGUAGUCCACGCCGUAAACGUUGAGUGCUAGGUGUUAGGGGUUUCGACGCCCUUAGUGCCGCAGCAAACGCAUUAAGCACUCCGCCUGGGGAGUACGAUCGCAAGGUUGAAACUCAAAGGAAUUGACGGGGGCCCGCACAAGCGGUGGAGCAUGUGGUUUAAUUCGACGCAACGCGAAGAACCUUACCAGGUCUUGACAUCUUCUGCUGCUUCCAGAGAUGGAAGGUUCCCCUUCGGGGGACAGAAUGACAGGUGGUGCAA